AAAAGCCCUAGGCGGACUUCAUAUAAUGCCACGAUACUGAUAGGCACUCAGGAAAUAUUAAUUACUAUUGAUGAAAGUGGUGACUCCUUUAAUUUAGACGCAAACAGCCAGAAAGGACUAAACACCCUGGGCUCUUUGCCUCUGUUGCAUUUGGAGACUGAUUAACACAGUCUUACAAUUAAUUACUUGUCCCUUCCACCCCUGGCACCUCAAACUCGGGUGCAUUCAGGUCACUGAGCAGUUGUGUGGACGUGUGUUAGGCUUUCUUGAGUUUUAGCCAGAGAGCCAGGCUACUAGCAGCUGUGCUAGACUUUUAAGAUGUGGAAAACUUGGUAAAUAUGCUAAAGUAAGAGACAGGAACCAGGCCAGAAAAUGGGGUGUCCGAAGAGAGUGGGAGGCCAUGAGGGGAAGUGUGCGCCGCAGACACCGGAAGCUGGGAGUUACGGCAAGAUAAAUCUGUGAGGGGCAGCCAGGAUGCAAAUUUCCAUCAUUCUUAGCAAGUCAGAACCAGGAGACCUCACUCUCUGCCCAUCAUGAUAAUUGUAAUUCCCAGGAUGAUCACUGAGGGGUAAAGUUAAGGAUCUCGAGAUGAGAUUACCCUGGAUUAUCUGGUGGGCCCUAAAUCCAAUAAGUGUCUUUACAAAAAGAAGAAGUCACAGAGGAGAAGACCUGUGAAGCCAGAGGCAGAAAGUGGAGUGAGGCCCACAGCCACUAGAAGCUGGGAGAGGUGAAGAACGAAAUCCCCCCAAGCCUCAGCGGGAACACAGCCGACACCUUGACGUCCGGCCCCAGGAUGUUUCUUUCUCUCAUUUUCUCUCUGGGCCCUUCCCAUAUUCUGGCACCCCUUGACUUUUGACCCCUGGAGAAUGCUGCAAACAGGAGAGAAGAUCUGAGAGGCCAGG
rnacentral:lncRNA from 1 species